GACGAACGCUGGCGGCGUGCUUAACACAUGCAAGUCGAACGGAAAGGCCCUGCUUUUGUGGGGUGCUCGAGUGGCGAACGGGUGAGUAACACGUGAGUAACCUGCCCUUGACUUUGGGAUAACUUCAGGAAACUGGGGCUAAUACCGGAUAGGAGCUCCUGCUGCAUGGUGGGGGUUGGAAAGUUUCGGCGGUUGGGGAUGGACUCGCGGCUUAUCAGCUUGUUGGUGGGGUAGUGGCUUACCAAGGCUUUGACGGGUAGCCGGCCUGAGAGGGUGACCGGCCACAUUGGGACUGAGAUACGGCGCAGACUGCAACGGGAGGCAACAGGGGGGAAUAUUGCACAGUGGGCCGGAGCGUGAUGAAGCAGCGCCGCGUGCGGGAUGACGGCCUUCGGGUUGUAAACCGCUUUCGCCUGUGACGAAGCGUGAGUGACGGUAAUGGGUAAAGAAGCACCGGCUAACUACGUG
rnacentral:rRNA from 1 species